AGAGCCCUAGCAGGGAAUAAGAGCCCACCUGCGGGUUGCCAGGGCAACUGGAGGCAGCGAAUGACCCACACCUGAGAGUGGUCAGCAGGCUGUAAGGGGCAAGGCCUGGCCCUUAUAAAGCCCAGGGCUGAGGCCAGGCUGGCAGUUCCCUGCCAGCAGCCAGAGAGGCAGGAGCUCCUGGAGUAGGGAUGCGAGAAGCAGUGAGAACCGCAGGGCCUGCAGCUGCACAUGGGGGAGAGGCCACAUUUGGCAGCCAGGUCACUGGUGCACACAUCUGGGGCCCUGCAGAUGUACCAGCUCUGCCAGAGGAGGACCCUGGACAUGACCCUCCUCCUGGACCACCUGGUCAUGGCAUCAGAGGACCAGCUGACAGAAACUCAGGAAGAAGACAUUACAUGGAAUUCUAGAGGCAAAACAAAGAUAUAUUUAUGGAGCCUUCCUUAAAAUUAGGAAUUCAAUAAUCAUCAGAUACUGUGACACACGGAAUUAUAAAAAAAAAAAAGAUCUAUGCAAGG